rnacentral:rRNA from 1 species
UACGUAGGUGACCAGCGUUGUCCGGAUUUACUGGGCGUAAAGAGCGCGCAGGCGGUCGUUCAAGUCGAGUGUGAAAGCCCCCGGCUCAACUGGGGAGGGUCAUUCGAUACUGAUCGACUCGAAGGCAGGAGAGGGAAGCGGAAUUCCCGGUGUAGUGGUGAAAUUCGUAGAUAUCAAGCGGAACACCGGUGGCGAAGACGGCCUUCUGGACAGUGACUGACGCUGAGAUGCGAAAGCGUGGGGAGCAAACAGG